AUGAGCAGCUGGUGUCGAGAUUUUUUCAAUACCAGUGAGGCGAAACACAAACGCCGCCACAGCGAACCUCCUCCCAGUGCUCCUCCUCUCACCGCCGCCCGCGGCGACCUCCUGUCCGGCCGCGGUGGCAGCGGGGUGCCCCUUUCUCCUCUUGAUCUCCUCUUCAUUCGACCCCACAGUGAAUGUCAGUUUGCAUCGGAUCCAGGGACUCGGUUGCUCAUAGCAGUUCGCAUAGAUCCAGGACUCGAUCACUCAUGCCGGUGCCUUCGAUCCAGCGACUGGAUCACUCACGCCGGCGCUCCAACAAAUCAAGCCGGUGCCUUUGAUCCAGUGACUGGAUCACUCACGCUGGCGCUCCAAUAG
rnacentral:rRNA from 1 species